UAAGUAGUACAGAUGCAAUGCCUAUCUAAGA
rnacentral:piRNA from 1 species